GUGGCUGUUUUGGGCCAGUCACCACUGCCCUUUCAUUAUUCUCUUCAUCCUUCAUGUUUGAGCUUGCUGAAGAGGCAAAUAGGCUUGUGAACUAAGUGGAAGCUCUUGGUGAAAUAGUUGAACAACUGGGUAAAAAAGGCUGGAAUUUCAAUUUGAAACAUUAUGACAAAAACUUGAACUGGCAAACACCAAUAGUGGACUCCUCCCUUAUGUCUGACUGUACUGUCAAUUGCACCUGCCUUUCUGAUGAUGAAUGUCACAUCAGUGCCAUGUCAGAAAUUUCUUGGAGAGAUGCAAAAUAUGGUCAAAGAAUUCAAGAACUUACUUUUUU